CAUGAACGUUGGCGGCGUGGAUUAGGCAUGCAAGUCGAACGGGCCGCAAGGCCAGUGGCGGAAGGGUGAGUAAUGCGACGGUAACCAACCCCGGGAAUGGGUAUAGCCGCGGGAAACUGCGGGUAAUCCCCAGCGACGUGUCGAGUCGGCAUCGGCUUGACACCAAAGUUCCGGCGUCCUGGGACGGGCCGUUGUGGUAUUAGCUAGUUGGCGGGGUAACGGCCCACCAAGGCUACGAUGCCUACCGGGCGUGCGAGCGUGGCCCGGCACACUGGGACUGAGACACUGCCCAGACUCCUACGGGAGGCUGCAGUCGAGAAUCUUCGGCAAUGGGCGCAAGCCUGACCGAGCGACGCCGCGUGGAGGACGAAGGCCUUCGGGUUGUAAACUCCUGUCGAGGGGGAGGAAGGCGUAAGCUUGACCGAUCCCUGGAGGAAGCACGGGCUAAGUUCGUGCCAGCCGCCGCCGUAACAC
rnacentral:rRNA from 1 species